GUCCUGGGUAGCCUAGUGGACAUGGCAUCUGCCCGGGAAACGGAAGGUCGUGGGUUCGAUUCCCGCCCCUGGACA
rnacentral:tRNA from 1 species